rnacentral:rRNA from 1 species
AAAUGAAUAGACGGGGGCCCGCACAAGCGGCGGAGCAUGCGGAUUAAUUCGAUGCGACGCGAAGAACCUUACCUGGGUUUGACAUCACCGGAAAUCUCGUAGAGAUACGGGGUCCUUCGGGGCCGGUGACAGGUGGUGCAUGGCUGUCGUCAGCUCGUGUCGUGAGAUGUUGGGUUAAGUCCCGCAACGAGCGCAACCCUUGUCCGAUGUUACCAGCGGGUUAUGCCGGGGACUCAUCGGAGACUGCCGGGGUCAACUCGGAGGAAGGUGGGGAUGACGUCAAGUCAUCAUGCCCCUUAUGUCCAGGGCUUCACGCAUGCUACAAUGGCCGGUACAGAGGGCUGCGAUACCGUGAGGUGGAGCGAAUCCCGAAAAGCCGGUCUCAGUUCGGAUUGCAGUCUGCAACUCGACUGCAUGAAGUCGGAGUCGCUAGUAAUCGCAGAUCAGCAACGCUGCGGUGAAUACGUUCCCGGGCCUUGUACACACCGCCCGU